GCGGAUGUGGCGAAACUGGCAGACGCACCAGACUUAGGAUCUGGUUCCGCAAGGAGUGCAGGUUCGAUUCCUGUCAUCCGCA
rnacentral:tRNA from 1 species